AAUAGGUGACGCCCAUUGAAUUUUUCUCACAUGUUUGAUCAUUCGUCUUAUUCAAAAAAUUUAUGUGAUUAUAACUUAUUUUGUUAUGAGUUGUUUUAUCACUCAUAGUACUUUAAGUGUGAUUUAUAUUUUAUACAUUUGUAUAAAAUUUUUAAAUAAGACGAAUGGUCAAACAUAUAAGAAAAAAUUAACGGUAUCAUCUAUU
rnacentral:pre_miRNA from 1 species